AUUGAACGCUGGCGGCAGGCCUAACACAUGCAAGUCGAACGGUAACAGGAAGCAGCUUGCUGCUUCGCUGACGAGUGGCGGACGGGUGAGUAAUGUCUGGGAAACUGCCUGAUGGAGGGGGAUAACUACUGGAAACGGUAGCUAAUACCGCAUAACGUCGCAAGACCAAAGAGGGGGACCUUAGGGCCUCUUGCCAUCGGAUGUGCCCAGAUGGGAUUAGCUAGUAGGUGGGGUAACGGCUCACCUAGGCGACGAUCCCUAGCUGGUCUGAGAGGAUGACCAGCCACACUGGAACUGAGACACGGUCCAGACUCCUACGGGAGGCAGCAGUGGGGAAUAUUGCACAAUGGGCGCAAGCCUGAUGCAGCCAUGCCGCGUGUAUGAAGAAGGCCUUCGGGUUGUAAAGUACUUUCAGCGGGGAGGAAGGGAGUAAAGUUAAUACCUUUGCUCAUUGACGUUACCCGCAGAAGAGGCACCGGCUAACUCCGUG
rnacentral:rRNA from 1 species